rnacentral:lncRNA from 1 species
CAUGUCUUUUUCCAGCUAGGUAGCUCCUUUCUUUUUGUCACCAAAGGUGAUGCUGCAUUAUAUGCACGUAGUUUGUUCAUCCAGGCUACCUGUUGAAGGACAUCUUGUUUGAUCCCAGUCUUUGAGAAUCAUGAAGGGAGCUGCGGUACAAUUUUGUGUGGACAGAAAGAAGUUUUCUCCUCAUCGAGCCAUCAGGUACCCAGUGGACAGACAGAGGCCAGUGCAGCCAGGCAACAGUGCUCGAGCUGACUCUGAUGCAUACCACAUCCAGAAAAAACAAUCAACGACAACAAAUGCAAUGACUGAUCUUGAGGUCGCCGACACAGAGCUUUGGGGUCCUGACUUGUCCCAAAGCAGGGACUUUAGCGAUGUUCGCUUGUUUAUUGCCAGUGUUGUGUAAGUUAUAUGUUCAUCUUUUUUGUUUGUUUUGUUUUGUUUUUGAGACAAGGUCUGGCUGGCCUCAAACUAAUGGCAAUCCUCCUCCCUCAGCCUCCCGAGGGCUGGAAUUAUAGGUAUGUGCCACCACACCUAGCAUAUGUCCAUCUUUAAUGCAUUAGAUCAAGAGUCAGUAAAUUACAGCUCAGGGAUCAAAUCCAGCCUGUGGCUUCUUUUUUAG